UUUAACUGAAGAGUUUGAUCAUGGCUCAGAUUGAACGCUGGCGGCAGGCUUAACACAUGCAAGUCGAGCGGGGGAAGGUAGCUUGCUACCGGACCUAGCGGCGGACGGGUGAGCAAUGCUUAGGAAUCUGCCUCCUAGUGGGGG
rnacentral:rRNA from 1 species